UGGCCCGAAACUAAGCAAUUAUGGACUUCUUUUACUAUAUUUGGUGACUUCAAUUUUCUUCAUGUGUAUAUAAUAAAUGAUAGAAUCAGUUGAAAAAUCUACACGGCUUAUUAUUAAUAUUGUACUUUCAUCGCCAAUUUGUUCCUUCAUGAAUCCACUUUCGUCGCCUCACGCGUUUUCUCGCUAACGUCGAAACAAAAGUUUUGUUUGAAAAGCGGCCGGGUUUUAACAUGGCAGAUCGUCAGAAUCAGAAACCGGAAGGGGGUGAUUCAGGAUCAGAAUAUAUUAAACUUAAAGUUGUUGGACAGGACAGCAAUGAAAUUCACUUUAGAGUGAAAAUGACUACUCAGAUGGGUAAACUUAAAAAGUCAUACAGUGAAAGAGUGGGAGUUCCUGUUGGUUCUUUAAGGUUUCUUUUUGAUGGCAGAAGAAUAAAUGAUGAUGAAACACCAAAACAGAUUUAAUCUGAAAACUUUAACAAAUUGUCUUAUGCAUUAAUACAUGUAUCUGAUGAUGUGUGUUAGGCAACAGUGUUCUUACAGAUCCUCGUUUCUCAUAAUUUGUAAAAGUUAGAGAUGGAGAAUGAUGAUGUCAUUGAAGUGUAUCAGGAACAAACGGGUGGUGUUUAGUAGCUGGUCAAACCUCAAAUCAUGUGUUCCAUUUCAUGCUGUAAGCUUUGUUACAAGAUUUCUUCACUUUGGCUUUUUAAAGAGAGAGAUUUUCCAAAGACCUUUUUCCUUUUGAUUUAAAGUAAACUCGUGCUUCAGAAACUAUUAACACAAUUUUCUUUCGUAACUUUGUGUUAUUGAAAUUUUAUUUUUUGUUGCUCGAUUCAGAUACCUUAGCUGGUAUGUGUACAUAAAUAUUUUCUCUAUUUAUGAAACAUCCAAGUAAACAUUAGUUCUGUGUAACAUCAUUGAAACAUUUGUCUUGCUUAGAAAUGAUCAAUCAAGUUUAUUGGUAUUGCUAUGAGAUGUCAAACAUAUAUAUUAGUAAACUUAAAUGACAUUUUGUUUUUGUUUCAGUAUGUUUUUCAAGUAGAGAUUUAUUACAGAUUCUUUUACAUACCCUUUAAACAGUCUGAGUGUAAAAAGCCAAGGAAUAUAGAUAAAACAAAUUCAAAGAAUGUGAUAAUUUGUAAUACUGUUUUCUGUAAUAAAAUAACAUUUUGAUAAACAUUUUAGACUGGAUUAUGUAAAGAGAACAUUGAAAUCAAUUGUGGUUAGAUAUAUUUAUAACCAAUUUAUCUUUAGAAAUUGAACUUUCUAUAUUGCUCUGUCCAAAGUCUUAGCUCAAAGACAUUUUUGGCAAAACCUGUUGUAAAUUGUGAGUGAAGUCUUUUUUUUUGUGUUUGGAUAGAUUAUGUGGUUUAUAAAGAUUCUAUAAUUAAUAUUGCAAGCCAUUCCAUUUUUAUAACAUCAAUCUUUAGUUUCAUAACAUAUUGUUUUGUAAAGAGGAGGAGAUAAAUGAAGAAAUAUUUACAAGUGUAAUUUAAUUUUAAAUGUGAUCGAUGCAACAUUUGAUGCACUUCACAGGUCUUAGGCAUUUUAUUUUUUUUAAAGAACUAGCAUAUGCAAUUUUUUUUUCUAUAUUUUGCUAUCUUUUAAAGAACUACUCAUAUAAAUUUUUGUAAAUAAAUUUUUGAAAGAUAGUUUCUUAAGUACUUACUUGAGCUAAUAAAAAAUGGUCAUUUUUUCACAGAAAAUAUUUUUAGAUAUGUAUUAACACACACAUCAAAUGUUGUAGUUUUUAUUAUGAAACUGUUUUGUCAGUUGCUUUCUUUUAUUUGUAAUCAGCAUCUGUGGAAAUGUUUUGUCUAAAGAUAUCUAUUGUGAAUGUAUAUCAUUUCUGUGAACAUGACAUCAUAUAUAAUGUAUUCUUUAUCAACCUUAGAUAUAUUAUAUCAUUUUACUGAAA
rnacentral:misc_RNA from 1 species